CGGAGGAUCCAAGCGUUAUCCGGAAUCAUUGGGUUUAAAGGGUCCGUAGGCGGUUUGGUAAGUCAGUGGUGAAAGCCCAUCGCUUAACGAUGGAACGGCCAUUGAUACUGCCAGACUUGAAUUACUGGGAAGUAACUAGAAUAUGUAGUGUAGCGGUGAAAUGCUUAGAUAUUACAUGGAAUACCAAUUGCGAAGGCAGGUUACUACCAGUGGAUUGACGCUGAUGGACGAAAGCGUGGGGAGCGAACAGGAUUAGAUACCCUGGUAGUCCACGCCGUAAACGAUGGAUACUAGCUGUUGGGAGCAAUCUCAGUGGCUAAGCGAAAGUGAUAAGUAUCCCACCUGGGGAGUACGAACGCAAGUUUG
rnacentral:rRNA from 1 species